UACGGGGGGGGCAAGCGUUGUUCGGAAUUACUGGGCGUAAAGGGCUCGUAGGUGGCCAACUAAGUCAGACGUGAAAUCCCUCGGCUUAACCGGGGAACUGCGUUUGAUACUGGCUGGCUUGAGUUUGGGAGAGGGAUGUGGAAUUCCUGGUGUAGCGGUGAAAUGCGCAGAUAUCAGGAGGAACACCGAUUGCGAAGGCAGCUCGCUGGAACGUUACUGACGCUGAGACGCGAAAGCGUGGGGAGCAAACAGG
rnacentral:rRNA from 1 species